AUAUUUCUCUCUUUAUAUUUUCCAGCUUCUCCUAUUACCACGAAUGCAAACAAUCUAACUCAGGAGAAUAUCCCAGAUUAUAAACUUCUGAUCUCCUGUACUGCUGCUGCUGCUGCUGUUGGAUUUAUUACAUCAGUUUUGAUCUUCUGGAUCUACAGUAAACACACAAAAACACAUCAACAGGAUCAGACAUGUGAAGAUGAGAUUGCAUAUGCUGAUCCGAAAUUCCGCAAACGAAACACACAGAAUGUCAAAGAUGAAAGUGAGGUGAUAUAUGCCACUGUCAACCCCAGAUCCUGAUC